GAUGAACGCUGGCGGCGUGCCUAAUACAUGCAAGUCGAACGAAACUUCUUUAUCACCGAGUGCUUGCACUCACCGAUAAAGAGUUGAGUGGCGAACGGGUGAGUAACACGUGGGCAACCUGCCCAAAAGAGGGGGAUAACACUUGGAAACAGGUGCUAAUACCGCAUAACCAUAGUUACCGCAUGGUAACUAUGUAAAAGGUGGCUAUACUACCGCUUUUGGAUGGGCCCGCGGCGCAUUAGCUAGUUGGUAGGGUAAAGGCUUACCAAGGCAAUGAUGCGUAGCCGAAUUGAGAGGUUGAUCGGCCACAUUGGGACUGAGACACGGCCCAAACUCCUACGGGAGGCAGCAGUAGGGAAUCUUCCACAAUGGGCGAAAGCCUGAUGGAGCAACGCCGCGUGGGUGAAGAAGGUCUUCGGAUCGUAAAACCCUGUUGUUAGAGAAGAAAGUGCGUGAGAGUAACUGUUCACGUUUCGACGGUAUCUAACCAGAAAGCCACGGCUAACUACGUG
rnacentral:rRNA from 1 species